rnacentral:rRNA from 1 species
ACGCUGGCGGCGUGCUUAACACAUGCAAGUCGAACGGAAAGGCCCUGCGUUUGUGGGGUGCUCGAGUGGCGAACGGGUGAGUAACACGUGAGUAACCUGCCCUUGACUUUGGGAUAACUUCAGGAAACUGGGGCUAAUACCGGAUAGGAGCUCCUGCUGCAUGGUGGGGGUUGGAAAGUUUCGGCGGUUGGGGAUGGACUCGCGGCUUAUCAGCUUGUUGGUGGGGUAGUGGCUUACCAAGGCUUUGACGGGUAGCCGGCCUGAGAGGGUGACCGGCCACAUUGGGACUGAGAUACGGCCCAGACUCCUACGGGAGGCAGCAGUGGGGAAUAUUGCACAAUGGGCGGAAGCCUGAUGCAAGCAACGCCGCGUGCGGGAUGACGGCCUUCGGGUUGUAAACCGCUUUCGCCUGUGACGAAGCGUGAGUGACGGUAAUGGGUAAAGAAGCACCGGCUAACUACGUGCCAGCAGCCGC